rnacentral:rRNA from 1 species
UACGAAGGGUGCAAGCGUUAAUCGGAAUUACUGGGCGUAAAGCGUGCGCAGGCGGUGAUGUAAGACAGUUGUGAAAUCCCCGGGCUCAACCUGGGAACUGCAUCUGUGACUGCAUCGCUGGAGUACGGUAGAGGGGGAUGGAAUUCCGCGUGUAGCAGUGAAAUGCGUAGAUAUGCGGAGGAACACCGAUGGCGAAGGCAAUCCCCUGGACCUGUACUGACGCUCAUGCACGAAAGCGUGGGGAGCAAACAGG